CCUACGGGUGGCAGCAGUGGGGAAUAUUGCACAAUGGGGGAAACCCUGAUGCAGCGACGCCGCGUGAGUGAAGAAGUAAUUCGUUAUGUAAAGCUCUAUCAGCAGGGAAGAAAAUGACGGUACCUGAGUAAGAAGCCCCGGCUAACUACGUGCCAGCAGCCGCGGUAAUACGUAGGGGGCAAGCGUUAUCCGGAUUUACUGGGUGUAAAGGGAGCGUAGACGGAAGGGCAAGUCUGGAGUGAAAGGCGGGGGCUCAACCCCCGGACUGCUCUGGAAACUGUACGGCUGGAGUGCAGGAGAGGUAAGUGGAAUUCCUAGUGUAGCGGUGAAAUGCGUAGAUAUUAGGAGGAACACCAGUGGCGAAAGCGGCUCUCUGGUCUGUAACUGACGCUGAGGUUCGAAAGCGUGGGUAGCAAACAGGAUUAGAUACCCCAGUAGUC
rnacentral:rRNA from 1 species